rnacentral:rRNA from 1 species
GCUCAGGACGAACGCUGGCGGCGUGCUAAUACAUGCAAGUCGAGCGCAGGAAACUGACGGAACUCUUCGGAGGGAAGGCAGCGGAAUGAGCGGCGGACGGGUGAGUAACACGUAAGGAACCUGCCUCAAGGAUUGGGAUAACUCCGAGAAAUCGGAGCUAAUACCGGAUAGUUCAUCGGACCGCAUGGUCCGUUGAUGAAAGGCGCUCCGGCGUCACCUUGAGAUGGCCUUGCGGUGCAUUAGCUAGUUGGUGGGGUAACGGCCCACCAAGGCGACGAUGCAUAGCCGACCUGAGAGGGUGAUCGGCCACACUGGGACUGAGACACGGCCCAGACUCCUACGGGAGGCAGCAGUAGGGAAUCUUCCACAAUGGACGAAAGUCUGAUGGAGCAACGCCGCGUGAGUGAUGAAGGUUUUCGGAUCGUAAAACUCUGUUGUAAGGGAAGAACACGUACGAGAGGGAAUGCUCGUACCUUGACGGUACCUUACGAGAAAGCCACGGCUAACUACGUGCCAGCAGCCGCGGUAAUACGUAGGUGGCAAGCGUUGUCCGGAAUUAUUGGGCGUAAAGCGCGCGCAGGCGGCCUUUUAAGUCUGAUGUGAAAGCCCCCGGCUCAACCGGGGAGGGCCAUUGGAAACUGGAAGGCUUGAGUACAGAAGAGAAGAGUGGAAUUCCACGUGUAGCGGUGAAAUGCGUAGAGAUGUGGAGGAACACCAGUGGCGAAGGCGACUCUUUGGUCUGUAACUGACGCUGAGGCGCGAAAGCGUGGGGAGCAAACAGGAUUAGAUACCCUGGUAGUCCACGCCGUAAACGAUGAGUGCUAGGUGUUGGGGGGUUUCCGCCCCUCAGUGCUGAAGCUAACGCAU